GUGGGAUUGGUCAAGAGUGUCCGUAGGAGCGGGUGGGAUUGGUCAAGAGUGUCCGUAGGAGCGGGUGGGAUUGGUCAAGAGUGUCUGCAGGAGCGGGUGGGAUUGGUCAGAAUUCCUUGGGAAGCAGGAGGGAUUGGUCAGAAUUCCUUUGGGAGCUGUCCGUCUUGGUCAAGAGUAUCUGAUGGAGCAGAAGAGAUUGGUCAGAAUUCCUUUAGAAGUGGGGGAGAUGGGUCAGACUUCCAUCAGGAACAGGUGGGAUUAAAAACACCUCUCAGCCACCAGGACGUUCGUAGUCAUCUCGCAUAUCCUUGUUAAAUGAAAAUUCUAUCGUUAAUUAGGAAGCGCUUGCACCAUUAAUGAUUCAAGUCACAAAGUAAUUGCACGCUGUAACUCUAUAUCCGCUGUAAUAUGUCACCUUGUGCAGGCUGAGCAGAUAAUGCACUAAAAUAUUCACGUUCAGUAGAAUAGUGAGGUUUGCAUUUGCAGCACAAAGGCCAUGGAUUGUUUAACUAAAUUGUUUCAUCAAGAUGAUAAACAGCAGGAGUUGUGAAGUGUACGGCUGUAGUACACCAGCGAGUACUGGAGUGUGAAGUGUACGGCUGUAGUACACCAGCGAGUACUGGAGUGUGAAGUGUACGGCUGUAGUACACCAGUGAGUACUGGAGUUGUGAAGUGUACGGCUGUAGUGCACCAGCGAGUACUGGAGUGUGAAGUGUACGGCUGUAGUGCACCAGCGAGUACUGGAGUGUGAAGUGUACGGCUGUAGUGCACCAGCGAGUACUGGAGUGUGAAGUGUACACCUGUAGUGCACCAGCGAGUACUGGAGUGUGAAGUGUACGGCUGUAGUACACCAGCGAGUACUGGAGUGUGAAGUGUACGGCUGUAGUGCACCAGCGAGUACUGGAGUGUGAAGUGUACGCCUGUAGUACACCAGCGAGUACUGGAGUGUGAAGUGUACGCCUGUAGUACACCAGCG
ensembl:lncRNA